GGAUUAGAUACCCGGGUAGUCCACGCCGUAAACGAUGAGUGCUAGUUGUUGGGGGCUUCGCCCUCAGUGACGUCGCAAAUGCUUUAAGCACUCCGCCUGGGGAGUACGGCCGCAAGGUUAAAACUCAAAGAAAUUGACGGGGACCCGCACAAGCGGUGGAGCAUGUGGUUUAAUUCGAGGCAACGCGAAGAACCUUACCAGGCCUUGACAUGUCCAGUUUAGUUUCCAGAGAUGGAUUCUUUCACCUCGGGUGGCUGGAACACAGGUGCUGCAUGGCUGUCGUCAGCUCGUGUCGUGAGAUGUUGGGUUAAGUCCCG
rnacentral:rRNA from 1 species